rnacentral:rRNA from 1 species
AGAGUUUGAUCCUGGCUCAGAACGAACGCUGGCGGCAUGCCUAACACAUGCAAGUCGAACGAAGGCCCUAGCUUGCUAGGUUACCUUAGUGGCGGACGGGUGAGUAACGCGUGGGAACCUGCCCUGGAGCGGGGGACAACCACUGGAAACGGUGGCUAAUACCGCAUACGCCCUUCGGGGGAAAGGCUUCGGCCACUCCUGGAUGGUCCCGCGUCUGAUUAGCUAGUUGGUGAGGUAAUGGCUCACCAAGGCGACGAUCAGUAGCUGGUUUGAGAGGAUGAUCAGCCACACUGGGACUGAGACACGGCCCAGACUCCUACGGGAGGCAGCAGUGGGGAAUAUUGGACAAUGGGGGAAACCCUGAUCCAGCAAUGCCGCGUGAGUGAAGAAGGCCCUAGGGUUGUAAAGCUCUUUCGCCGGUGAAGAUGAUGACUGUAACCGGUAAAGAAGCCCCGGCUAACUCCGUGCCAGCAGCCGCGGUAAUACGGAAGGUCCAAGCGUUAAUCGGAAUUACUGGGCGUAAAGCGCGCGUAGGUGGUUUAUUAAGUUGGGUGUGAAAGCCCCGGGCUCAACCUGGGAACUGCAUCCAAAACUGAUUCACUAGAGUACGAAAGAGGGAGGUAGAAUUCACAGUGUAGCGGUGGAAUGCGUAGAUAUUGUGAAGAAUACCAAUGGCGAAGGCAGCCUCCUGGUUCUGUACUGACACUGAGGUGCGAAAGCGUGGGUAGCGAACAGGAUUAGAUACCCUGGUAGUCCACGCCGUAAACGAUGACAACCAGCUGUUGGGAAGCAAUGCUUUUCAGUGGCGCAGCUAACGUCUUAAGUUGUCCGCCUGGGGAGUACGGCCGCAAGGUUAAAACUCAAAUGAAUUGACGGGGACCCGCACAAGCGGUGGAGCAUGUGGUUUAAUUCGAUGCAACGCGAAAAACCUUACCUACUCUUGACAUCCUUGGAAUCUCUUGUAAUGAGAGAGUGCCUUUUGGAACCAAGUGACAGGUGCUGCAUGGCUGUCGUCAGCUCGUGUCGUGAGAUGUUCCGUUAAGUCGGAUAACGAGCGCAACCCUUACCCUUAUUUGCCAGCGGUUCGGCCGGGAACUAUAAGGGGACUGCCGGUGAUAAACCGGAGGAAGGUGAGGACGACGUCAAGUCAUCAUGGCCCUUACGAGUAGGGCUACACACGUGCUACAAUGGGAAGUACAGAGGGACGCCAA